rnacentral:rRNA from 1 species
CUAACAGUUUGAGAGAGGUAGUAACAAGAAAUAACAAUACAAGGCAGUUAAAAUGCUUUGUAAUUGGAAUGAUAGAAAUUUAAACCCUUUUUAAAGUAUCAAUUGGAGGGCAAGUCUGGUGCCAGCAGCCGCGGUAAUUCCAGCUCCAAUAGCGUAUAUUAAAAUUGUUGCAGUUAAAAAGCUCGUAGUUGAAGUUCUGCUAAAAGUAACCGGUCUGCUUUUAAUAAAGGUGGUAUCUUGGUGUGUAUUUAGCAAUGAUGUCCUUUGAAGUGUUUUUUACUUUAUUGUAAUAAAGCAUAUUCAGGACUUUUACUUUGAGAAAAUUAGAGUGUUUCUAGCAGGCUAACGCUUUGAAUACUGCAGCAUGGAAUAAUAAGAUAGGAUUUUAGUUCUACAUUAUUGGUUUUAAGAGCUAAAUUAAUGAUUGAUAGGGACAGUUGGGGGCAUUUGUAUUUAACUGUCAGAGGUGAAAUUCUUAGAUUUGUUAAAGACAAACUACUGCGAAAGCAUUUGCCAAAGAUGUUUUCAUUAAUCAAGAACGAAAGUUAGGGGAUCGAAGACGAUCAGAUACCGUCGUAGUCUUAACUAUAAACUAUGCCGACUAGAGAUUGGAGGUCGUCUUUAUAAACGAC